rnacentral:lncRNA from 1 species
AGGUUGAGAGCGGGGUCCAGGAGGCAGUUUGGCUCUGGGAAGUUACCUUGGAAUCUCGUUUUCCUCAUCUGUAGAUGGGGUAAUAAUGGAGCCACCUCGCUGGGCUCCUGUGGAUGAGCUGAGCUAAUUCAGGCACAGCACGAGGAGCAGAGUGGGCACACGGCCAGUGCCAGGUGUUGGCCAUGGUGACCAUUCUAUGACUGUCCAAGUGGGGAUGUCCAGUGGGUGGUCAGUUGUACAAAUCUGGGGCUCAGAGAAUUGCCUGGGCUGGGGACACAGCUCUGUGGUUGUCUGUGAAGCCGCAGGUGGGGUGAGCCACCCCAAGAGUGUGGGAGCCUUGGUGCUGCCCACCCCCUCCCUUUCUUCUUUCCUCGUUCCCCGAGGAACCCUGGUUGUGCUCAGAGCCCUUGUCCUUCCGGAGAAACAGCCCACACCCCAGCCCCAGAGAGGAUCGGGGUGAGACGGAGCCGAUCGGGGUGAGACGGAGCCAGUGAGGCUGGGUCAGCCGCUGGCGCUGGAUGUCAGUGAGAUUGGAGAGCCACGGUCAGCAGAGUCUGUCUCGCUCCUGGGACAUGAAUAAAGAAGCCGGUGGCCCUAAACCUCUAGGAUGAAGUUAGUGCUGUACUGACACACAACUUCUCCAUUGAAAAGGAAACAAAACCCCCUAUUUUGUAGUAUGUGCUGAUUUUCAUGGUGUACAGAUGCCCAAUUUCAAACUACCAAGAAGACACCCUGGAACAUGGAGUCAGGAUGCUCACAGUUUGUUCUUGGGAGCCAGUAGGACCUGGCUUCGGCACCGGCCCCCCAGGUGAAGCCCACCCUGGGGAUGGCAGAGCUGCAGCAGGAAAGCACCCACAGGCUCCCGGGGACCUGCCCGGAGCUGGAGCCCGCCCCGCUGUGCCUCCCGUCCUAGGUUUCUGUCACUUACAGCCAAACGCAUCCUGCAGUCUUCAGGGCUGCAAAAGCAAACAGGGAAGGGGCCCUGACCCACCCAGGCCAGGCCUCUGGGAGCUGCAGCAUCCAUUCGUGGGCAGAGGAAGGGCAGGCUGCCAGCUCACCUGUCAUUGAAACUUGGCCACACGGAGGCUGAGACUUUGCACUGGUUCUUCAUACACUCGAGGCUGCUGCAGAAAGACAAGCGUCGCCCAGGUCCUAGGUUGUGGUCUGUGCCUCGAGCUGAGCUCAGAGAUUAAAGCCUGAUCUCUUUCUUUCCGGUGUCCAGGUCACAGGAGCUGCACUCCGCCUCUGAGAUAUCCCUGCCAUUCAUGUGCUUAUAGGCAGAGUGACUCAGACCCUCAAAGCCCCACCAUCAAUGGCCAGAUGGCCAUAGGCCAUCAUUUAAUUAAUUCAUUAAGUGUAAUUUAAUUAGCUGUUUCAUCACCAUAUUCCACAGGCUGCUAGAUUCACAUCCCUGGACACAAACUGGAUUUUCCCUGCCUUGAGCCCCGACCACACCAGAAAAUCGUUUCUCCCAUUUCUCUGUCUGAAGUACACCCCGUCCGAUCAAUUUCCAAAGCGGUCAGGUUUCCUGGUUGAAAACAGUGGACUCUGCUUCCCACUAAUUUAAGCAGAACAGGAAUUUACUAGAAGGAAACCAGGCUGCUCCUGGGACCUGUUGGAGAGAUGGGCUCAGAGAGUGCAGAUGUUUGGGAAGUGGGUGGCUCAGGACACAGGCAAAGUGCCCCUUCAGAAAACAUCUGGUUCUGUGGCCAGGGCCACCAACACUGGACAUCCUGGCUCCAGGGCUGCCACUGCCUCCCACGAAUAAUCCCUGUCCUCUUCGGGACUUUUCUAUUCCCCACCUUCAAAGCAGGGGGCAGGCCCACUCCUGCCACAUGGGGACGAGUGUCAGCUUCCGAGUUAGGAGGACAGAACCGCCUCCCCACGCCCACAUAAGAAAGGGGUUUGGGUGGUAUGCAGAAAACACAAACCCCGCAGAGGCGGGGCCUGGCUGGACACCAUGGUAGCAUUCUGACUGCAUCGUUGCAGUUUCGUCUCUCCAACGUCUGAGAGCGUUACUCGCUGGACCCUGUUUCAUGGAUGGAAAAUGGGUUGUUUCUUUGUUAGUAAUUACUUCAGACUUUGGGGGUACCGUGAGAACCAGGCUGAUACUGUUGUGCCUGGGGGCUUCGUGGCUUCUGGUGGGGUCAUCCCAGCUCUGGGCCAACCUCGGUGUUUGGGACCCAGCAGGGGCACCAGGGCUGUCCAUUCUGAGGACUCCCUAAUUCUGCAGUGCUGCUGGGGUCUUCUGGCUCAGGUCCUGGGCCAAGGGGCUGCCAUCCUGGGGAUGUAGCAGCCACAACCAGGCCAGAGCUUCUCACCCAAAGCAAGUGGUGUGUGGUGAAUGUGUGUGUUCUGUCCAGCCUUGGCGUGGGCAGUCUGUCACGAUGCUGGCUGUGGCCAGCAGCCCAGGUGGGGCCCACAGAGUUC